AAAAGCCGCCAUUUUUUUUCUGGAUUUUAAAUAAAACGAAAACCCGAGUGGCGGGGGCGAGCCCUCUCGCUCUGUUCGCCGUGUGCUUCUCUCUGUGGGAGGCGGUUCGAGUUCAGACAGGGCGUAUCCUCUCGGCACAGAGCAGGAAACAUGUUGGUGUGGGUAAGCGGUCCCGCCUUUGGUUGAGUUUGUCCAGAGUUUGGUUCCGAGAGAGACGUCCAACCGUCGCAUCCCCACCAACCUAACGGCCAGCUUCGGUCUUUUAAUGGCUAUCGCUGCCCCAACGAACGCCACAGAUACUUUUCAAGAGGGUGGAGAAAGUGGCUCAAACUAUUUAGCUUUUGCCUUAGUGCUGGCUUUCUUCUUUUUGGGCCUUAGCGGGGUGGUGGUCUGCCACGUGCUAAAGAAGAAGGGCUACCGGUUCACCACCUCCCAGGAAGACGAAGAGUAUUAUGAUGAUGUGUUUGAGGAUGAGGACAAGCUGUCUAAGCAACAAGAGCGGCGUGACACCAUGACUGAAAAUGAGGACACGGUUGGAAAUAUUAUCCAAUGCAUCAUGAAAAAUGAAGCAAAUUCUGAUGCUCUGAACGCCAUGGUUACCCACACCAGUGUUGAUUCAGAUAUUGCAGUGUCUCCACCGCUCACCCCCGCAUCACCGGUGUCGCCUGCAGCAGCAGCCAAGCUCCCGUUCGAUCAGCAGCCUACCGUCGCCGUCGAGAGCAAAGGGCUGCCGAUGAGAAGGUUCUCGCAACGAAAGUCGUUGAGGCGCCGUCCUAGUCAAGUCACGGUCCUCUCUGUGGGCAGGUUUCGUGUGACGAAGUGUGACAGAUCAGGAAGGGAAUUAACCCCUUGGGACUCUGAAGCCAGCUUCCAGUCGGCGACAGACACCCCCCACCCCAGCUUUGCGUUGGCGGAGCCCCUAAAGGAAGAGUCGGGAGAGUUCGAGGAGGAGGAGAGAUAGGAGUUCAGUUUUCCACAUGGAGAGCAGGACCAAUAUCUCGGCACUUUAGGUUAUUUUAUUCUUCAUACUUCAGAGGGACGAAUAGAUCCAGAAGGGUUCUUGUCCUAUCAUUGCUCCACCAGUAGUGGAAUCUGCUGCUGACAACCUGCUGGACAAAAGAGGAAGAGAAUUUGCAUGUUUUCUUCCUUCCUGGAGUAGAGGUCCUGCAGUGCCUGGCUCAGAGGUGGGACAGCAGCCUGAUGCUAUGAGCUGAGUCUGAACCUGGGCUUUCGACACCGAGAAGCAGGCAGAGACGGAGCUCUUGUUCUGAAACAGGAAGCUGGAGCAAACUGAUGCAGCACAAGGAGAUCCACCAGGUCAGCGCCACCGGAUACGUCGUCUCCUGUAAAACCGUUACAUGAACUCAAAGUGCUUUUUACCAUCUUUCAUCAAGGUUUUACAGUUUUUCUUUUUUUAAAUAUAAUUAUUGUUUUUUUUGUGUGUUCUGUCUUGUCUCAAUAAAGAACUGUCAAACUAGAGAAAAAUUACAAUUCCUACAAAAAUGCAGUGUGAACGCCACAAGCUGAAUAUUCUUAGUGUAUAUGGCAGAUGCAUUUGAAGUCGACUGCAGAAAUAUAGGAAAUGGGCAGAGGCAACAGAAUUAAGCAAAAAGCCUGCAAAAUGCUACUAGAAAAACUGUACAAUGAAAACAUCCAUUUAAUGCAAAAAUCCCACCUAGAAUAUUAAAA